rnacentral:rRNA from 1 species
CCUACGGGAGGCAGCAGUAGGGAAUUUUCGGCAAUGGGGGGAACCCUGACCGAGCAACGCCGCGUGAACGAAGAAGGUAGUCGUAAUGUAAAGUUCUUUUAACAGGGAAGAAAGAGAAAGUAGACGGUACCUGACGAAUAAGCCCCGGCUAACUACGUGCAAGCAGCCGCGGUAAUACGUAGGGAGCGAGCGUUAUCCGCAAUUAUUGGCCGUAAUGGGUGCGUAGAUGGCAUAGUAAGUCUUUUGUAAAAAUGCUAGGCUCAACCCAGUAGGGCAAAAGAUACUGCAAAGCUAGAGUAUGACAGAGGCAAGUGGAACGACAUGUGUAGCGGUAAAAUGCGUAAAUAUAUGUAAGAACACCAGUGGCGAAGGCAGCUUGCUGGGUCGAUACUGACAUUGAGGCACGAAAGCGUGGGGAGCGAACAGGAUUAGAUACCCCAGUAGUC